rnacentral:piRNA from 1 species
UGGGAUUAAAGGAAUGGACCACCAUCGCC